rnacentral:Y_RNA from 1 species
GGCUGGUCCGAAGGCAGUGAGUUAUCUCAUCUGAUUGUUCACAGUCAGUUACAGAAGGAAUUUCUUGUUCUACUACUUUCCCCUUCCUACCACUGCACUUGACUAGUCUUAA